AUGGACUCCCCACAAAAAAAGCUUGGAUCCAUGGACGGCGAGCUGCUGCCUGUGAGUGCGAGUGCGACCGUGGCCAAGAAGACCUUGGCCGCUCGUCUGUUCCAGGAUCAUGUCCUGCUGCUCAGCGCUUGGGCGCUCUUCACGGCCUUCGUCCUCGUCGUCUCCUGCGCAUUGGGCUACGCAAUCGCCUACGCACUCGACCACUUCCACGUCCCCUGCAGCCAGGCCUCCUUCUUUCUGCGGUGCCACAAGCCGACGGACGCGGAGGCCGCCGAGGUGACCGCCCUAGUGAUCGGGAUGCUGUGCUGCGCUACACUCCAGGCGGCCGCGGCGGCGCUGGCGCUGCUGCUCCCGUGCCGCCGUCCCUGGGUCCGCUGCGCCCUCGCCUACCUCGCCCUCGCGCUCACCAUCGCCGGCCACUGCAUGUACGCAGUCUUCCUCAACCACUUCGCCAACCCAGGAGACCUCUUCUUCAAGAUCUGCUGGACCGUGGCCUUCGUCGUCCUCGAGGCGGAUGACAUGAUCUGCUUGCUGGUCCUCCUGCUCCUAGCUUCCAAAGAAUAA
rnacentral:rRNA from 1 species